AUGACUCAGCUGGGCAAGUCACAGGCCCAGGGGGACCUGCCGCAGGGCGAGUCCUUCGGAUGUUCGGUGAGGGCGACACAACCAGCUGGCAAUACCAGCAGGGAACGGGGGGAGCAGGGAGCCCUGGAGGCCCCUAACACACCCCCUGCUCGAUGCACGCUAACCCCAACCCCAGAUCCGUCUGCCCUGGAGCAGAACCAAUGUCCUCCAACAGAGAACAACGUCCUCCUGAAGGUCAGAUCCACACAGAUUCUGCUCUCCCACCCUGCAGGGCCCUCACCGGGGGUGGCGGUGGGGACAGAGCCCCCAUCUUGCAGACAGCACUGCCAGGAGGGGUCUCUCCCUGCAGCACCGCUGCAGGACCGAGCACCGCUUCCCACCGAAGGGCUUGGACUCCUGCGGCUGGCUUUUUUUUUUUUUUUCCCUUUUUCUGGGCCUGGCAGUGCAGGGUUUGCAGAAGUGAGCGUGCGACAGCAUAUUCCAGUGGUGAUGACUGCAGUUUCCCCAGCAACCCGGAGGCGUGAGUCAGCAGCGCCCUGCUGCUGCGCUGCUCUGUGCUGCGCUGCGCGGGGAGCCCGCAGACCCCUCGGCUCUGCUGCCCGGGGUGGGGGGUACGCAGCAGGCCUGGGAGCGGGCAGCCUGUCUGCCCAAGAGGGAAUCGAAUCAGCUUUUAUUUUAUUUUAUUUUAUUUUAUUUUAUUUUAUUUUGCCAGCUAAAUGUGGGAAUCCCUUUUUGCAAAAUGGGGAGUGCCUGCAGGAAACCCACCUGGAGGACAUGGUGGGGAGCAGGGGCGCAAGCCCUCCCUGCUGCUUCUGUAGGGGAUUGGGCGCCGUUCCUCCUUGUGCACAGGCAGCAAAAGUCAGGCAGGCAGAGAGGCUGUGCCCCUGCCUGGAGCAAGAAAUGGCGCAGUGGCACCGGCAGCACGAACUCUGUCAACCUCUCUGGCAUUCAAAGCAGCCCACAGCUUGGAAGAAAAGCCACACAUGCAGCAAAAUGGGUUUCCUGCCGGAACGUUUCAGUUCACACAGGCUGUGUGAACAGCUUCCAAUCACCCACCUGGGCAGCAGGUCUGGGUGA
rnacentral:lncRNA from 1 species